rnacentral:rRNA from 1 species
CAGUAGCCGCGGGAAUACGGAGGGUGCAAGCGUUAAUCGGAAUUACUGGGCGUAAAGCGUGCGUAGGCGGUUUGUUAAGUCUGCUGUGAAAUCCCCGGGCUCAACCUGGGAAUGGCAGUGGAUACUGGCAAGCUAGAGUGUGUCAGAGGAUGGUGGAAUUCCCGGUGUAGCGGUGAAAUGCGUAGAGAUCGGGAGGAACAUCAGUGGCGAAGGCGGCCAUCUGGGACAACACUGACGCUGAGGCACGAAAGCGUGGGGAGCAAACAGGAUUAGAUACCCCAGUAGUCCCUGUCUCUUAUAA